rnacentral:rRNA from 1 species
CAGUCGCCACGGGAAUACGGAGGGUGCAAGCGUUAAUCGGAAUUACUGGGCGUAAAGCGCACGCAGGCGGUCUGUCAAGUCGGAUGUGAAAUCCCCGGGCUCAACCUGGGAACUGCAUUCGAAACUGGCAGGCUAGAGUCUUGUAGAGGGGGGUAGAAUUCCAGGUGUAGCGGUGAAAUGCGUAGAGAUCUGGAGGAAUACCGGUGGCGAAGGCGGCCCCCUGGACAAAGACUGACGCUCAGGUGCGAAAGCGUGGGGAGCAAACAGGAUUAGAUACCCGUGUAGUCCCUGUCUCUUAUAC